rnacentral:lncRNA from 1 species
AUGUUGCGAACUGCCGCGAAGUUAAAGAAGGAGAAUGGAGGAGGUGAUGAAUCUCAAUCUAAAGACAGUAUGAUACCAAAGAGAAAGAAAAAACUUGCAGUCGCACGCAAACCUGUUUUCUUUAUAUUAUUCUUGCAUUUGUUUGCUCCAGUUUUUAUUGUUAGUAUUACUUUUUCCUUCUAAUUUUUAUUUCUGUUUUCUUUUUUUUACUUGGCUAUUCUGUAGUAUUAGAAAUACCCAAUUUUAAAGAGGCUACACAAUGUGGAGAUUUUUUUGAUGUUACAACGAAAAAAACAUGUAAAAUAAUUUGUUGUUUUCCACAUGAGGGAAUUAAGGUAACUCCUUCAUUUCAAUGCCGCAAAAUGUUCCCUUGCAAAUUGAAUGAUGAAUAUGCAUGCCCUCUGAAAAAUGUCUUUUUCAAUGCAUUAAUAGGUAUCCAACCGAGGGGUCAUUCAUAAAAUAUGCGACACUUCAGGGGGAGGUGAUAUGAGGAGAGCAUGAUUCCAUUUUGCUCUUAUGUAUUAAAGGAUGUACGAACCUACUGCACCAAAGUGUUACGAAGGGGGCGGAGGUAAAAAAAUGUGAAAUUGAGACAAGUAAUCCGUAUGUUAAAAGUUUA